AGACUCUGCACCCACACACACCUUUCAUCCUUUCAUCCCGACUAAUACAUUCAGGUAAAAGAGAGACAGAGAGAGAGAAAAGAGGAGCAGAUCUGGAUUGGAUGUUCUAGCACACAAGGGUAUCAGGCUGGAGGCUCAUGGUAGCCCAUCAUGCCCUGACCACAAAGACUAAAAUGGUACAUCCAUAUAGAACAUCCGUAUGAGACAACCGAAGAACCGAGCACAGCACCAGGGUCUCCAGUUGGAUUCUAAACUCUGGUGUUCUAUGUGGACACGUGUGCUCUUCCAUAUCCUCCAAGUUCUCCAGGUCUUCAAAAGGGUGCAUAUAAGUGUAUUGGUUAUGUUUAAUUGUCCCAAGAUAUGCAAAUGAGUGUGCAUUAUGAAUAAGCUCCAGAUCCAUUGUGACCCACACAAGUAUACAGAAACUACAGAAUAUAAAUGUAAGUGAAUUUUGCUGUGGACAUCACCAAACUUCUACCAAAAUCUUUCUAAUUUACUAAGUUGUGAUUAUUUUCAGUAAAUGGAUGCUUUGUAAGCCAAAUGUUGCUUCUUGGAAAUGUAAUUUGAAGAAGGGCAACAGGGUGCUCAUCUGAUUAUAUUGAUUAUCUUACAUAAAACCCUUUGUGCAUAAGUUCCUUACAUGAAAAGUAAAAAAUAAAGUAAUUUCUCUGUCUUUCUAGAACAACCUGCAUUUUCUUCACCUUCUUGAUUACAUCCAUUUCAUUUUUUUUUUAACAGUUCAAAGUAUUAAUUACUUUUGCCGACAUUGUUCAUUGCGUGUGUUUUGUAGUGAAACAGAUUUAAUACUUGAAGUGCUUUCAGCAUGUGAUCUAAGCCUAGGCUUUGAAAUGAAGUAAAUUUUGUGAGUA